rnacentral:rRNA from 1 species
AUUGAACGCUGGCGGCAGGCCUAACACAUGCAAGUCGAGCGGAGCGGCGGACGGGGGAGUAAUGCCUAGGAAUCUGCCUGGUAGUGGGGGAUAACGUACGGAAAGGGGAGCUAAUACCGCAUACUAUCAGAUGAGCCUAGGUUGGAUUAGCUAGUUGGUGGGGUAAAGGCCUACCAAGGCGACGAUCCGUAGCUGGUCUGAGAGGAUGAUCAGUCACACUGGAACUGAGACACGGUCCAGACUCCUACGGGAGGCAGCAGUGGGGAAUAUUGGACAAUGGACGAAAGCCUGACCCAGCCAUGCCGCGUGUGUGAAGAAGGUUUUCGGAUUGUAAAGCACUUUAAGUUGGGAGGCGUUACCAACAGAAUAAGCAACGGCUAACUUCGUGCCAGCCGCCGCGGUAAUAC